UCACCACAGUCUUCUUUAGGGUUUUAGUCCAAAAUCACAAUAUCCAUCGCUAAUAUGAGUCUGUCUGAUGCCGUUUUUCAGAAUUCAUUAUGUUUAUUGUAGUAAUUUUCGCUUAACAUUUUGAUUUGGUGUUGGGUAUGAAUCAUUAGAUUUGUCGAUGAUGAUAGAACUAAGGCUUGUUUCUCAAGAACAUUCGCAGUUGCCGCCUGAGAACUUUCGCCUUUCGCCGGGCUUGAGAGUUUAUGCUGCUUUAUCCUUCCUUGGAUGUCUGAGACUCUUUGUAAUCUCUUCAAUUCAUAUUCUUAAUGUUUGUUUUUCAAAUCAGAAUCGAUUUAUUUUUUUUACUGAAUGAGAAAUAAUUGAGAUGGAGGUGAUGAUCCUUUCCCCAUAUUAUCGACUAUGAUUAUAAUAUGCGUUUUGUUUAAAUCUCUCUCAACAGGAGAUUUUCCAAGCCAGUACUCUGAUCCAUCUAUUCAGAAUCUCAAUUUUAGCUCAGAUUUUUUUUAUUGAUUUUUUUUUUCCAGUUUUAUGAAUUGGGAAUUGAUGUCUGCCCCUAUGGCUUGUUUAAGUGCCUAUGGGAUGAUCAAUUCGCAAAACGAAAAUCUCGUAAAUCCUUCGUUUCAGUUUUUCAGAAUUCUCAGCGGAUUCUUAAUUUUGUUUUACUUUUCUGCUGAUAAUUUGAAUGGAGGAAAAUUUAUUUGAAUUUGAGUUUGUAAAUUGUUGAUGAUGAUAAAACUUAGGCUUGUUUCUCAAGAACAUUCGCAGUUGCCGACUAAGAGCUUUCGCCUUUCGCCGGGCUUGAGAGCUAAUGCUGCUUUAUCCUUCCUUGGAUGUCUGAAACAUUAUCUUUACAAACUCUUUUUUUUUUCUCAAUUCUUUGGAUUUUUAAUUCCAAUUGAUCUAAUAUUGUGUGGGUUUUGUUAUAUAUGAAUUGAGUGUCGAUGAUGAUAAAACUAAGGCUUGUUUCUCAAGAACAUUCGCAGUUGCCGCCUAAGAGCUUUCGCCUUUCGCCGGGCUUGAGAGUUAAUGCUGUUUUAUCCUUCCUUGGAUGUCUGAGACACACUUUUUGAUUGAUUAUAUGAAUUUAGUUUCAAAUUUUAGGCUAGAUUUUGAUUUUGGAUUUAGGUUUUUGAGGUAAGAUGGAGGUGAUGAUCCUUUCCCCAUAUUAUCGACUAUGAUUAUAAUGUGCGUUUUGUUUAAACCUCUUUCUCAACAGAAGAGGUUUUCCAAGCCAGUACUCUGAUCCAUCUAUACUCUCUCAAAUUUAAUUUGUCUGAUAUAUUCCGUUAUUACAUAAGUCUAUUUUUCUGCAGUGCAUUCGUAGAAGCCAGAUAUGAGGGCAAGCAUUCUAAGCUUUGGUUUCAGGUUGAACCCGUCUAGAAGCUUAGAUAUAACUUCAUGGACAUCUAUCAUCAAAUACGAAAAAUUAUGAAAUAUUUUUGGAAGACUUAAACCGAGCCCAAAAUGUUGUGUAUCGGCUAUAUGAUCAUUUGCAUAUACCAACUCGACAACAAUUCCUGGCGCUAUUUGUUGCAAUGUCUGGCUCUAUUUUUGUACUGGGGAGGAUGAGACACAGCAGCGGGCGAGAUUGACAAGAUUCUAAUCAAGUUUCGACUAGACUGAGGAUCUGUGAUUAGUUGGUGUUCAUUCAUUUGCACACGUACAUGGCUCUGUAUGCUUUGGUUGCAUGGGGACCCGCUUUGCUGCUUAAGCCAAAAUGUUUUUGCUGCCUGUAAUGACCCAACUAACACACACAUUUGAUAUAUUUCUUUGCGGUUGGCCUCAAGAUGUCAGUUUGGGGGGGUAUUCAUAGAUUUUCAAUUGGUGAAUGAUACCGAAGGUGUGGUGAUGACACUAUUGUGGACUAGAGUUUCUGAUUGAGGCUCUUCACCCUAAUUUGACGACAAAGCUUGCCUGUCUGAGCAUUGCAAUGAUAUAGAUCGAGGAACGUUCCUUUUUUCUCGGUUUGCAAUAUAUCAAUAGAUUUAGUUUUUAUCAUUAUGUUUUUUGAAUUAUUCAAAUUCAGGAAGAUCGACAUUAAGUGUUUCAGUCCACGCUGUUUGUAUUCAUGCUGCUUGUGGUGAAUUAUAGCCAAUAAAAUUUGUUUUAAUA